rnacentral:rRNA from 1 species
GGCAGAGAUGCCUUGGUGCCUUCGGGAACGCUGAGACAGGUGCUGCAUGGCUGUCGUCAGCUCGUGUUGUGAAAUGUUGGGUUAAGUCCCGNAACGAGCGCAACCCUUUAUCCUUUGUUGCCAGCGAUUCGGUCGGGAACUCAAAGGAGACUGCCGGUGAUAAACCGGAGGAAGGUGGGGAUGACGUCAAGUCAUCAUGGCCCUUACGAGUAGGGCUACACACGUGCUACAAUGGCGCAUACAAAGAGAAGCGACCUCGCGAGAGCAAGCGGACCUCAUAAAGUGCGUCGUAGUCCGGAUCGGAGUCUGCAACUCGGACUCCGUGAAGUCGGAAUCGCUAGUAAUCGUGGAUCAGAAUGCCACGGUGAAUACGUUCCCGGGCCUUGUACACACCGCCCGUCACACCAUGGGAGUGGGUUGCAAAAGAAGUAGGUAGCUUAACCUCCGGGAGGGCGCUUACCACUUUGUGAUUCAUGACUGGGGUGAAGUCGUAACAAGGUAAGCGUAGCGAG